rnacentral:ncRNA from 2 species
GCAGCAUUUUUUGUAACCGGUUCUGCCAAACGGCAGAUGAAAAGGGAAUCAUGUGAAAAUCAUGAGCUGUCGCGCAACUGUAUGUGACUGAAAUUUUUAUCAAAAAGCCACUGUGCUACGCAUGGGAAGGCGGUAAAAAUGUCACGAGCCAGGAGACCUGCCAUUACUACUUUGAGCUA